GCUGUGCACAGUGGUAUGCACCUGUGGUCCAGCUAUUUGGGAAGGAGGCUGAGGCAGGAGGACUGCCUGAGCCCAGGAGUUCUGGGCUAUAGUGCACUAUGCCAAAUGGGUGUCUGCACUAAGUUCAGAAUCAAUAUGGUGACCUCCCAGGAGCAGGGGAUUACCAGGUUGCCUAAGGAGGGGUGAACUGACCCAGACUGGAAACUGAUCAGGUCAAAGCUCCCAUGCUCAUCAGUAGUGGGACUGCACUCCAGCCUAGGCAACAUAGUGAGACCCCAUCUCUUAAAAAAAAAGACAUGUGCU
rnacentral:SRP_RNA from 10 species